rnacentral:rRNA from 1 species
GACGAACGCUGGCGGCGUGCUUAACACAUGCCAGUCGAACGGAAAGGCCCUGCUUUUGUGGGGUGCUCGAGUGGCGAACGGGUGAGUAACACGUGAGUAACCUGCCCUUGACUUUGGGAUAACUUCAGGAAACUGGGGCUAAUACCGGAUAGGAGCUCCUGCUGCAUGGUGGGGGUUGGAAAGUUUCGGCGGUUGGGGAUGGACUCGCGGCUUAUCAGCUUGUUGGUGGGGUAGUGGCUUACCAAGGCUUUGACGGGUAGCCGGUCUGAGAGGGUGACCGGCCACAUUGGGACUGAGAUACGGCCCAGACUCCUACGGGAGGCAGCAGUGGGGAAUAUUGCACAAUGGGCGGAAGCCUGAUGCAGCAACGCCGCGUGCGGGAUGACGGCCUUCGGGUUGUAAACCGCUUUCGCAUGUGACGAAGCGUGAGUGACGGUAAUGGGUAAAGAAGCACCGGCUAACUACGUG